rnacentral:rRNA from 1 species
UAACGAAUCUUCCGCAAUGCGCGAAAGCGUGACGGAGCAAUGCCGCGUGCAGGAUGAAGCCCUUCGGGGUGUAAACUGCUGUCAGGGUUUAGCAACUCAAUGAGCAAACCCAAAGGAAGGGCCGGCUAACUUCGUGCCAGCAGCCGCGGUAAUACGAAGGGCCCGAGCGUUAAUCGGAAUCACUGGGCUUAAAGCGUACGUAGGCGGGCGCGCAGGCAUCCUGUGAAAGCCCUCGGCUCAACCGAGGAACUGCUUGGUGAACCGCGCGUCUUGAGGCAAGUAGGGGCUGUCGGAACGCUAGGUGGAGUGGUGAAAUGCGUUGAUAUCUAGCGGAACGCCGAAGGAGAAAUCAGGCAGCUGGGCUUGUUCUGACGCUGAGGUACGAAAGCGUGGGGAGCGAACGGGAUUAGAUACCCCCGUAGUCC